rnacentral:rRNA from 1 species
GAUGAACGCUGGCGGCGUGCCUAAUACAUGCAAGUCGAGCGAACGGACGAGAAGCUUGCUUCUCUGAUGUUAGCGGCGGACGGGUGAGUAACACGUGGAUAACCUACCUAUAAGACUGGGAUAACUUCGGGAAACCGGAGCUAAUACCGGAUAAUAUUUUGAACCGCAUGGUUCAAAAGUGAAAGACGGUCUUGCUGUCACUUAUAGAUGGAUCCGCGCUGCAUUAGCUAGUUGGUAAGGUAACGGCUUACCAAGGCAACGAUGCAUAGCCGACCUGAGAGGGUGAUCGGCCACACUGGAACUGAGACACGGUCCAGACUCCUACGGGAGGCAGCAGUAGGGAAUCUUCCGCAAUGGGCGAAAGCCUGACGGAGCAACGCCGCGUGAGUGAUGAAGGUCUUCGGAUCGUAAAACUCUGUUAUUAGGGAAGAACAUAUGUGUAAGUAACUGUGCACAUCUUGACGGUACCUAAUCAGAAAGCCACGGCUAACUACGUGCCAGCAGCCGCGGUAAUACGUAGGUGGCAAGCGUUAUCCGGAAUUAUUGGGCGUAAAGCGCGCGUAGGCGGUUUUUUAGUCUGAUGUGAAAGCCCACGGCUCAACCGUGGAGGGUCAUUGGAAACUGGAAAACUUGAGUGCAGAAGAGGAAAGUGGAAUUCCAUGUGUAGCGGUGAAAUGCGCAGAGAUAUGGAGGAACACCAGUGGCGAAGGCGACUUUCUGGUCUGUAACUGACGCUGAUGUGCGAAAGCGUGGGGAUCAAACAGGAUUAGAUACCCUGGUAGUCCACGCCGUAAACGAUGAGUGCUAAGUGUUAGGGGGUUUCCGCCCCUUAGUGCUGCAGCUAACGCAUUAAGCACUCCGCCUGGGGAGUACGACCGCAAGGUUGAAACUCAAAGGAAUUGACGGGGACCCGCACAAGCGGUGGAGCAUGUGGUUUAAUUCGAAGCAACGCGAAGAACCUUACCAAAUCUUGACAUCCUUUGACAACUCUAGAGAUAGAGCUUUCCCCUUCGGGGGACAAAGUGACAGGUGGUGCAUGGUUGUCGUCAGCUCGUGUCGUGAGAUGUUGGGUUAAGUCCCGCAACGAGCGCAACCCUUAAGCUUAGUUGCCAUCAUUAAGUUGGGCACUCUAAGUUGACUGCCGGUGACAAACCGGAGGAAGGUGGGGAUGACGUCAAAUCAUCAUGCUCCUUAUGAUUUGGGCUACACACGUGCUACAAUGGACAAUACAAAGGGCAGCGAAACCGUGAGGUCAAGCAAAUCCCAUAAAGUUGUUCUCAGUUCGGAUUGUAGUCUGCAACUCGACUACAUGAAGCUGGAAUCGCUAGUAAUCGUAGAUCAGCAUGCUACGGUGAAUACGUUCCCGGGUCU